rnacentral:other from 1 species
GGCGCCCUGCGCUGUUGGUGUUAACCCAUUGUGUUUUGAGCCAACACCCAUUCUACGGGAGUCCGAAGUCUCUACCAGGCGCAAACGCCUCGCGCGGCGAGGACUUGCAAGCUGGAUGAGCAGGGCACCCACCUGCGAGAGCAGGUUCAAAACCGCGGGUUUCACGGCAUUUGCGGGGCAUGU